AAACAUCAAAUCGUAAUUUCAUGAUUUGUAUUUUCUUUGGGAAAUACAAAAGAAGAGACCGCGUUAGAAUCAGCCCUCCGUGGGGGAAAUAAUUCUAUUCGGAGUGAUUCUUAAAAAACGAUGAAAGCUAUUUGGCAGAUGUAUGUGCUCUACGUAACUUGUAAAAGAGAAACGACAUGUGAUUGGCAACCAUGCCACGUUUCCCAUUCCCGUGUGGCAAAAAUUGCAACUAUUCCACGAGACAUCGGAACUGUCAAGUUAGCCCAAUAAGGAAAAGUGAAGUCUCGACUUUGGAGAAUCAAAGGUUUUAAAAUCGGAGAUACUAAAAAUAUCCCACAAGAU